UGGCUCAGUUGGUAGAGCAUGGUGUUUGCAACACCAGGGUAGUGGGUUUGAUUCCCAC
rfam:Salmo salar isolate Sally breed double haploid chromosome ssa15, whole genome shotgun sequence.